rnacentral:rRNA from 1 species
AUUGAACGCUGGCGGAAUGCUUUACACAUGCAAGUCGAACGGCAGCACGGACUUCGGUCUGGUGGCGAGUGGCGAACGGGUGAGUAAUGUAUCGGAACGUGCCCAGUCGUGGGGGAUAACGUAGUGAAAAUUACGCUAAUACCGCAUACGAUCUAUGGAUGAAAGCGGGGGAUCGCAAGACCUCGCGCGAUUGGAGCGGCCGAUAUCAGAUUAGGUAGUUGGUGGGGUAAAGGCACACCAAGCCAACGAACUGUAGCUGGUCUGAGAGGACGACCAGCCACACUGGAACUGAGACACGGUCCAGACUCCGACGGGAGGCAGCAGUGGGGAAUUUUGGACAAUGGGCGAAAGCCUGAUUCAGCCAUUCCGCGUGCAGGAUGAAGGCCCUCGGGUUGUAAACUGCUUUUGUACAGAACGAAAAGGUUUCUACUAAUACUAGGAGCUCAUGACGGUACUGUAAGAAGAAGCACCGGCUAACUACGUGCCAGCAGCCGCAGUAA